rnacentral:rRNA from 1 species
AAAAUUCAACAACGGAUCUCUUGGUUCUGGCAUCGAUGAGAACGCAGCGAAAUGCGAUAAGUAAUGUGGAAUGCAGAAUUCAGUGAAUCAUCGAACUUUGAACGCACAUUGCGCCCCUCGGUAUUCCGGGGGCAUGCUGUUCAGAGCGUCUU